AAGGGUCUCAGCACCUGCAUCCUCAGUGCUUGGGGCAGCUGUAGCCGGAAGCAAAGACCCACAGGAAAUGCAGUGUCUGGGGAUCUUUGAUAAGUAGACAAGCUUUUGAAGUUCUGGGUUAGAAUCUGGCUGGCAGAAUCUUUGGAAAAGUUUUAUAUACAGAUAUUUGUAUUAUUAAAUUUGGAGCCAUAGUCAGAAGACUCAGAUCAUAAUUGGCUUAUUUUUCUAUUUCCUUAACUAUUGUAAUUUCCACUUUUAUAAUAAUUUUGAUUUGAAAAAUAAAUUUAUUUAUUUUUUUAACAGUCAAAAUCUUUGCUGUUGUAGUCUGCAGCCUUUAAUGAUUGUGUUGCUUUUAUGAUUGAAAGAAGCACUCCACAAAUUGAAGAGAGCGUGAUGCAGCGAGGUGUAAGUCGUGGUUAGUGACGUGUAUGGCUCCUGUGCUCAUCGCUGUCUCUGCGAGGCAUCUGGCUGCAUCUAAAGGACAUUCGUUCCAAAUGAAAAUUUGCUUUUCUGGCAGUUUUCAUAAUGGAAAAAAAAUUCUCCUUUGUCUGAGUAUAGAAGUUUUAAGAUGUAUCAUGGGUAUCGGUGCUUGUAUAACACACAAUGAAUUGUAACUAGCAUGUUGUUAAGAAAACACAUUGUUAGUUUUUUUUAAUCUUAAAUGUUUCUUUUCUAUUUAUAAUUUCAACCUUUCAUAAAGUAUACUAAGAAUU
rnacentral:lncRNA from 1 species